rnacentral:misc_RNA from 1 species
UCCGGUUUGUCACCGGCAGUCUCAUUAGAGUGCUCUUUCGUAGCAACUAAUGACAAGGGUUGCGCUCGUUGCGGGACUUAACCCAACAUCUCACGACACGAGCUGACGACAGCCAUGCAGCACCUGUGUGCAGGUUCCCUUACGGGCACCCCCGCCUUCCAGCAGGGUUCCGUACAUGUCAAGGGUAGGUAAGGUUUUUCGCGUUGCAUCGAAUUAAUCCACAUCAUCCACCGCUUGUGCGGGUCCCCGUCAAUUCCUUUGAGUUUUAAUCUUGCGACCGUACUCCCCAGGCGGUCAACUUCACGCGUUAGCUGCGUUACCAAGUCAAUUAAGACCCGACAACUAGUUGACAUCGUUUAGGGCGUGGACUAC